UUGUGGAAUAUCUACAAACUUAUGUAAUGCUUUCACCUGCUGCAGAACAUGUGGGCAUUAAGGAGCUGCAUAAACAUUUUUUCCAACCAUUGGGACACCAUCCAAAGCAGUUAAUCCAAAGGAUUGAAAAUAUCAUCUAAACAGGACUGCCAUUAGUAACUGAAGGGCUCAUCAGGAUUCAGCCAUCUCAACAACUCACAUCUCCUUUGUUCACAAAUUCAAAAAAUGCAUAAAACUAAGUAUCUGUCCUAAUAUGGUUGCUGCAUAAUUUUAAACAGUUACUAGCAUAAGAUGUGCACUCAAUACACGAGCUCAGAACAAUACCUUGAAAAGUAAAAAAAAUAAUGUAACAAGUAGAACAUACAAAAAAACUAAACAUUGUAUUCAUAUUAGCCAAAAUGCCGGAAACAAACAAAAUACAAAAUACAUCAAUCAAUAUAGCUGGUACCGGAAACGGCUUCAAGUACUAAAUAAGUGCCGAAAACAGAUACAAAAAGAUUUCAAGUCACUAUAUAAGUGCCGAAAACAGAUACAAAAGAGUUCAAGUAACUAUAUAAGUACCGAAAACAGAUACAAUAGUGGUAAAAACAUCAACUCCCGAUCAACUUUGCCCCUUCCAAUUUAUGUCAAAAUAGUGAGCCACCCUUUCAAUAGAAAACCUCCUCCAAGUUGGACCUAUAAUCUGCACAAUUGCAGAGAAUUUUGGGUAUUUCUGUGCAAUAGCAACAACAGCAUGCAUUUGAUUUUCAUUCCUGACCAGUAUCCUCUCCUGCUUCACAACCCACCGCUCAAUUCUACCCAUAUUCCGGCGGGUUUUUCCCACAGCUGGAUGAUCACCGAUCCAUUUUGUCAUCCUCCCAUACCUUCCGAGAUGUGUAGUGGGUGAAACGACCCAUUAUUACUCUUUCAAAAGCGCCAAACUAAAAUUUUGAUAGAAGCCCGAAAUCAAAUUGUGAGAAGUGAUUCACUCAACUCUAUGAGAUUUGUUUUAUAUAAGAGAAAAGGGAAAUAUUUUAGCGGCAAGGAAGCUAAUUGUGCUUUUUUUUUUUUUUUUAAUUAAUAAUUUGUAAUUUUCCCUCCAUUUGAUAUUGAUGAAUGAUGACGUUUUUGAGUUAAUGAAUUCAAUGAUUUUGAAAAAAAAAAUCUGUUCCGAUAACAUGUUGAGUAAAACUAUGUACAUAAAAAACUAAUUAUUUAUGCAAGUUUAACUAUUAUUGUAUUUUAUUAAAUGAUGAAUUCAAAAAAAAAAUAUAUAUAUAUAUAAAAAGAGAUAAACAUCUGAUUUGAUUUUAAAUAAACACAUAAAAAUCAUGGCAGAGUUUGCAUACAUACAAGUAAUCAUUGUAGCAUCUAGAUAGCUCCACUUGAGCAUUUUAUGGUAGAAGAUGUUGUUCUCCAAUGAAAUAUUUGUUUGAUGUGUUUGAGAUUAGACAGUGGUGUACAAACUUAUUUAGAUAUUGUAAUGAGCUGGUCGGUCAUUUUUGGAAAGUCUCGUGAAUUUAUCGUUUUGUCCUUCUUGAUAUCGACCUCGAGUAUUUUAUGAUUGAGUUUGAAAAGUUGAUUUGAUCUUGGAGUUAAAAGUUGAGAAUUUUGUAAGUUUUGGGUUUGAAAGGCUAAUAUUGUUAAGAAAAUGGUUUUUGGAGUCCUUUGGAGUUUUGACUGUCGGAAUGAAAUUCUAUUGAUUCCAUCAAUCUCGAAAUUGGAAUCUCAGAUAUGAGAUUUGUCGGUUUCAGAUUCUGAGUCUUUUUGAGGAAUUGUUGUGAAAUGGUGAAAAUUUAGCCAUUGGGUUGACAUUGGUCAACAUUCGGGGUUCGGACGUUCGGAUUGAAAUUCUGAGGGCUCUACUGGGUUUGGGAGAUGAUUUUAGGCCUAAGCGAGAUUCCCUUGUCGCGAUCACGUAGCACUAAUUUGAGUUGCAUCGUGAUGGUCAACUUUAAUGAGUUGACUGAUUUUACUCAUCAAUUAUUUGCUCAUUAACUCAACUUUAUCAAAAGAAGUGCCACAAAAUGGUAUCUAUUUAAUAACACAAUUAUAAUUUUAUUUAAAGAAUUUCAUGAAAAUGUAAAACUCGACUGAAACCACAUUAGAAAGGAAGAAAGUAAAUAUAAGAAAUGACAUUACACACUCCAUACUGAUAUUUUAACAUGUACAAUUUGCAAAUUAAUCAAACAAAUUUGCAUGAAUUAAUUAGCUCAUCCCAUAAUUUAUGAAUUCAAAUGUCUGUAAAUUGAACUAAAUAACAGACUAAUUUUUUCAUUUGUUCGUCAUUAAUUUCCUCUUCUUUGUAUGUUCUUCCUUUACCACACAAUAUUUAUUGGUGUGUAUUUGACAUCAAAUCUACACCUCCUCUAGCCAGC
rnacentral:lncRNA from 1 species